UACGGGGGGUGCUAGCGUUAUUCGGAAUCAUUGGGCGUAAAGGGCGCGUAGGCGGUCUUUUAAGUCAGAUGUGAAAGCCCUCGGCUUAACCGAGGUAGUGCAUUUGAUACUAAGAGACUUGAGUAUGGGAGAGGGAAGCGGAAUUCCUGGUGUAGCGGUGAAAUGCGUAGAUAUCAGGAGGAACACCGGUGGCGAAGGGGGCUUCCGGGACCAAUACUGACUCUGAGGCGCGAAGGCGUGGGGAGCAAACAGG
rnacentral:rRNA from 1 species